rnacentral:miRNA from 1 species
UAGCUGGCCUCUCCCCACCUUC